GACGAACGCUGGCGGCGUGCUUAACACAUGCAAGUCGAACGGAAAGGCCCUGCUUUUGUGGGGUGCUCGAGUGGCGAACGGGUGAGUAACACGUGAGUAACCUGCCCUUGACUUUGGGAUAACUUCAGGAAACUGGGGCUAAUACCGGAUAGGAGCUCCUGCUGCAUGGUGGGGGUUGGAAAGUUUCGGCGGUUGGGGAUGGACUCGCGGCUUAUCAGCUUGUUGGUGGGGUAGUGGCUUACCAAGGCUUUGACGGGUAGCCGGCCUGAGAGGGUGACCGGCCACAUUGGGACUGAGAUACGGCCCAGACUCCUACGGGAGGCAGCAGUGGGGAAUAUUGCACAAGGGGCGGAAGCCUGAUGCAGCAACGCCGCGUGCGGGAUGACGGCCUUCGGGUUGUAAACCGCUUUCGCCUGUGACGAAGCGUGAGUGACGGUAAUGGGUAAAGAGGCACCGGCUAACUACGU
rnacentral:rRNA from 1 species